UCUCCGUUGGUGAACCAGCGGAGGGAUCAUUAGCGAGUUGAAAAACUCCCAAACCCAUGCGUACCUUACCAUGUCGUUGCUUCGGCGGGCGGCUCUUGACCCUCCCCCCCGAGUCCGGUGGGGAGGGGAGAGGGCACGCGGGCCCCCCGUCGGGGGGGCGCCCGCCGGAGGCCCGAACAGACACUGUCAUCUCAGCGAGAAGUCCUCUGAGCCAACUGAAAAAUCAGUAAAAACUUUCAACAACGGAUCUCUUGGUUCUGGCAUCGAUGAAGAACGUAGCGAAAUGCGAUAAGUAAUGUGAAUUGCAGAAUUCAGUGAAUCAUCGAAUCUUUGAACGCACAUUGCGCCCGCCAGCAUUCUGGCGGGCAUGCCUGUCCGAGCGUCAUUUCAACCCCCCAAGGCCCAGCGCCUGGUGUUGGGGCACCGCGGAGACGCGGGCCCCCAAGUCCAGUGGCGAGCCCGCCGGCGAACCGAGCGAAGUAACAUACCCUCCGCCACGGUGACCCGACGGGACCCAGCCGUGAAAACCGGUCGGGAGCGCGGCCACGAAACCGCGCGACCGCCGAAACUAAGUGGUUGACCUCGGAUCAGGUAGGAAUACCCGCUGAACUUAA
rnacentral:rRNA from 1 species